GACGAACCGUGCGAACGUUGUUCGGAAUCACUGGGCAUAAAGGGCGCGUAGGCGGCUUAUCAAGUCAGGGGUGAAAUCCGGCAGCUCAACUGUCGAAGUGCCUUUGAUACUGAUGAGCUCGAGGGAGGUAGGGGUGUGCGGAACUUCCGGUGGAGCGGUGAAAUGCGUUGAUAUCGGAAGGAACGCCGGUGGCGAAAGCGGCGCACUGGACCUCUUCUGACGCUGAGGCGCGAAAGCCAGGGGAGCAAAGCGGG
rnacentral:rRNA from 1 species